rnacentral:lncRNA from 1 species
UCGGGCCAUCACAGUAAUGAUCUAUGAAAAUAGUGAUCGGUGGAGCAGUAUUUCUAAUGAUUCAAGAACGUCCUACUUACGGCUUUUGCUGGUGUGGGAGUGUAAUACUGUAAGUAAUUUGUUCAACCGUGAAUGGGUCAAUUUUCUUAAUGAUAUGGAGUUGCUAGGAGUUAUACUCAUGUACUUGAUUGAAUAGUCAAUUAAGUACGAAUAAAUUAAGAGUAGAUAUAGUUGUCCCACAUGGUAGAAUCUAAUGAAUUUUCUUUGUUCUUAUAUAUUACAUGAGUAAGCAAGAUGCCGUUUUUUUCACAACCACCAGAGAUUAAUUAUCUUGAACAGAUAAUUUGGAUUUUGGUAGACUAAUAGUGUCCAAGGGUUUACUUUUCUCAGAUAAUGUAUGAAUGUUUCAAGUAUAACUUUUUUCAUUGAAUUUAUAUUUAUUUGUUAACUUGUUUAUGUGUUCAAUCAUUUAGCCUCAAUCUUUUCAUGAAAUUAUGUGGAGAUUAGCCAAUUUGGCUUUGGAUAAUAUUACUUGAAAACACUUUCUAAUUUUCAUUUUCCGUUUUCAUGAAAUUAUGUGGAAAUAGGUCAAUUGCGUUACUCGUCAUCUCUGCCCCGCCCUCUCCAACGCCACGCCACGCCAAAGUGCUCAUGAUCGUUGAAACCGCAGUUGCUCUUUCCCCGUGGCUAGUGGCCGCCCAACACGACGUCGCGACCAGUCCGAGAUUGCACCGCCUCUGC